rnacentral:rRNA from 1 species
ACAGCAGUAGCCGCGGGAAUACGUAGGGUGCAAGCGUUAAUUGGAAUUACUGGGCGUAAAGCGUGCGCAGGCGGUUCGCUAAGACAGGUGUGAAAUCCCCGGGCUUAACCUGGGAACUGCAUUUGUGACUGGCGGGCUAGAGUAUGGCAGAGGGGGGUAGAAUUCCACGUGUAGCAGUGAAAUGCGUAGAGAUGUGGAGGAAUACCGAUGGCGAAGGCAGCCAUCUGGCCUAAUACUGACGCUGAGGUACGAAAGCAUGGGGAGCAAACAGGAUUAGAGACCCGCGUAGUCCCUGUCUCUUAUAC